UGAACGCUGGCGGCAUGCCUUACACAUGCAAGUCGAACGGCAGCACGGGAGCAAUCCUGGUGUGCGAGUGGCGAACGGGUGAGUAAUAUAUCGCGAACGUGCCCAGUAAUGGGGGAUAGCCCGGCGAAAGCCGGAUUAAUACCGCAUACGACCUACGGGUGAAAGCGGGGGAUCGCAAGACCUCGCGUUAUUGGAGCGGCCGAUAUCAGAUUAGCUUGUUGGCGGGGUAAAAGCCCACCAAGGCGACGAUCUGUAGCGUGGUCUGAGAGGGACGACCAGCCCACACUGGGGACUGAGACAGCGGCCCAGAUCUCCUACGGGAGGCAGCAGUGGGGUUAUUUUGGACAAUGGGCGCCAAGCCUUAUUCAAGCAAUCCGCCUGGUGGAAAGAAGGCCCUUCGGGGUUGUAAACCCACUUUUGUUCAGGGGAAGGAAAACGGCUUCUACUAAUAAUUAGGAAGCUAAAAAACAAUACCUGAAGAAUUAAGCACCGGGCUAACUACGUGCCAGCAGCCGCGGUAAUACGUAGGGUGCAAGCGUUAAUCGGAAUUACUGGGCGUAAAGCGUGCGCAGGCGGCUUUGCAAGACAGAUUGUGAAAUCCCCGGGCUCAACCUGGGAACUGCAUUUGUGACUUGCAUGGCUAGAGAUACGGUAGAGGGGGAUGGAAUUCCGCUGUGUAGCAGUGAAAUGCGUAGAUAUGCGGGGGAACACCGAUGGCGAAGGCAAUCCCCUGGACCUGUACUGACGCUCAUGCACGAAAGCGUGGGGAGCAAACAGAAUUAGAUACUCCUGUGUAGUCCACGCCCUAAACGACGUCGUCCAAUUGUUGGACGGCUUGCUGUUCAGUAACGAAGCUAACGCCGUGAAUGUUGACCGCCUGGAGACCACGGCCGCAAGGUUGAAACUCAAAGGAAUUGACGGGGACCCGCACAAGCGGUGGAUGAUGUGGUUUAAUUCGAUGCAACGCGAAAAACCUUACCUACCCUUGACAUGUCUAGAAGUUACCAGAGAUGGUUUCGUGCUCGAAAGAGAACUAGAACACAGGUGCUGCAUGGCCGUCGUCAGCUCGUGUCGUGAGAUGUUGGGUUAAGUCCCGCAAC
rnacentral:rRNA from 1 species